AAUGACGUUAGGAAAGCGAGCGGCGGAUGGGUGAGUAGCACGUGGGGAACCUGCCCCAUAGUCUGGGAUACCACUUGGAAACAGGUGCUAAUACCGGAUAAGAAAGCAGAUCGCAUGAUCAGCUUUUAAAAGGCGGCGUAAGCUGUCGCUAUGGGAUGGCCCCGCGGUGCAUUAGCUAGUUGGUAAGGUAAAGGCUUACCAAGGCGAUGAUGCAUAGCCGAGUUGAGAGACUGAUCGGCCACAUUGGGACUGAGACACGGCCCAAACUCCUACGGGAGGCAGCAGUAGGGAAUCUUCCACAAUGGACGCAAGUCUGAUGGAGCAACGCCGCGUGAGUGAAGAAGGUUUUCGGAUCGUAAAGCUCUGUUGUUGGUGAAGAAGGAUAGAGGUAGUAACUGGCCUUUAUUUGACGGUAAUCAACCAGAAAGUCACGGCUAACUACGUGCCAGCAGCCGCGGUAAUACGUAGGUGGCAAGCGUUGUCCGGAUUUAUUGGGCGUAAAGCGAGCGCAGGCGGAAGAAUAAGUCUGAUGUGAAAGCCCUCGGCUUAACCGAGGAACUGCAUCGGAAACUGUUUUUCUUGAGUGCAGAAGAGGAGAGUGGAACUCCAUGUGUAGCGGUGGAAUGCGUAGAUAUAUGGAAGAACACCAGUGGCGAAGGCGGCUCUC
rnacentral:rRNA from 1 species